UACGGGGGGAGCAAGCGUUGUUCGGAUUUACUGGGCGUAAAGGGCGCGUAGGCGGUCAGCACAAGUCAGUUGUGAAAUCUCCGGGCUUAACUCGGAAAGGUCAACUGAUACUGUGCGACUAGAGUGCAGAAGGGGCAACUGGAAUUCUCGGUGUAGCGGUGAAAUGCGUAGAUAUCGAGAGGAAUACCAACGGCGAAGGCAGGUCACUGGGCAGUUACUGACACUGAGGCACGAAGGCCAGGGGAGCAAACGGG
rnacentral:rRNA from 1 species